ACAUAUGGAGGAUUGACAGACAGUUAACCAAAACGCAGCAGCUAGUUUAACAAAACUAACAGCUCUUUCAAGAUUAUGUGGUAGGUGGUGCAUGGCCGUUCUUAGUUCGUGAAGUGAUUCGUUCGCCCAAUCGCAUUUCCAAACAACUAACAACUCAGAAUGCUGGGCAAUAGGACGUUUAAAGUGGCUCCUUACACCUUACAAAGGAAUGGCUGAUGAGAAACAACUCGAUCCGCUCAGCGUUCUAUUGGAAUGCAACGGACGUGAUUGCAAGCUUUUGUUUUGAGUUGCGGUUUUACUGAAAGACUCUACAAUCCGCAAACUUCAAUGAUCUGAAGUAGAAAACCUACAUGCUACAGUGAGAUAUUGUGGAUAAACUUAAGCGACCGCUCCAACAUUGUGUUUUUUUAAAACUGAUGAAGGUUGCGGCAAUAACAGGUCUGUGAUGCCCUUCGAUGUCCUGGGCUGCACACGUGCUACAAUGGCUAGCGCAGUGAGCAUAUUUCAACCGAAACAUCGGUUGGCUGUUCUGAUUGACCCCUUCUGGGUCUCUCUGUAACACUACCGAUGAUCCCUCCUCUGAAAAGAGAGGGUAAGCCGUUCGAAAUUCUGGUAACGAUUCCCCGUAGUUAAGCAAACUUAAACCAUAGUGGUGUCAAACGGGUCCGCUUCCAUCGGAAAAGAUUCCUCCGGAAAAAGGCUUAUGCAGGCAUUUCACGUAUGCUCCUAUAAAUUCCUGGUAGGGAUAGUCUAUUGUAACUGGUAGACUUGUCAACUAGGAAUGCCUUGUACGGG
rnacentral:rRNA from 1 species